rnacentral:rRNA from 1 species
GACGAACGCUGGCGGCGCGCUUAACACAUGCAAGUCGAGCGGGAACCAGGGCUUCGGCCCUGGGGACAGCGGCGAACGGGUGAGUAACACGUGGGUAAUCCACCCUCGGCACCGGAAUAGCCCGGGGAAACCCGGAUUAAUGCCGGAUGGCCCGCCGGCCCCGCGGGGCUGGCGGAAAAGGUAGCUUCGGCCUCCGGCCGAGGACGAGCCCGCGACGGAUUAGCUUGUUGGUGGGGUAACGGCCUACCAAGGCUGCGAUCCGUAGCUGGUCUGGGAGGCCGAUCAGCCACACUGGGACUGAGACACGGCCCAGACUCCUACGGGAGGCAGCAGUGGGGAAUCUUGCGCAAUGGGCGAAAGCCUGACGCAGCGACGCCGCGUGAGGGAAGAAGGCCUUCGGGUUGUAAGCCUCUUUCAGGAGGGACGAAGCCACUCGGGUUAAUAGCCCAGAGGGUGACGGUACCUCCAGAAGAAGCCCCGGCUAACUACGUGCCAGCCGCCGCCGCUGUAA